rnacentral:ncRNA from 1 species
UGAACGACGAUGAGAAGGAAUAGUAAUCAUUUGUGUAUGUCUAAAGAGAGGUAACGGUUGCUGAAAGUUAUCCAUACCGAUGAUGAACUCACCUUUUAUGUUGCGAUUGUGAAAUUUAAGUAGUGAUCGCCGUAUUCUGCGUUAAAGAAAACAAAGUGAACAUUUUGUACAAUGUUAAUUUUGGGUGGUACCGCGGGAAAAAAGUUCUCGUCCCAGUU